rnacentral:tRNA from 1 species
GCCUGGCUGGCUGAGUCGGUAGAGCACGUGACUCUCAAUCUUGAGGUCGUGAGUUCAAGCCCCAUAGUGGGCA